CAUUUUGUCUUAACUUUAUUCAUUUUCUCAUUUAUUUGUAGGCAUCCUUUUUUAACAUCUUUCGUCAAAGAAGUGGAUUCAAAGCACAUUGUGGCCUCAGUAUAUUGAUGUUAAACCAUGCAGAAAAUGCUACUUUUUCUCAACCUUGUGGAUGUUCCCUACUUCCCUAAGGAUCAGCAGCCUCUUGAAACAGUUGAAGCCAUUAUCGAAUUCCUUGCGUCUAUUUUCCUUGGAUCUGAAAACAGUGCAUAAUGCAGGACAUUCCACCCAAAAGCUAACCCACAAGUCCAAGCUGAAGUGGAAUAUUUCGCAAAAUUUGAUCUACACUCACCCGAUAGCUUUACUGCUAGAGAAAGGUGGUCAUAUAGAUGUCAUUUAGAGGACAAAAAAGACGUAAAGAUCAUGUAAGGAUAAAAGGUACAUCGAAAUGACCAGUAAGACGUAAAUAUCACGUCAAAAUUUGAUGUCCAUACAACGUAUACACGACGUCUGUAGGACGUCUUUCUUGGGUAAAAGUUGACGUCUUAAAGUCAUCUUUCUUGGACCAAUAAGACCAGAAAGAAAUAUGACGUCCAUACGACGUCUUCCAUGGUACAAGUUGGCGUCUUAAAGAUGUCUUUCUUUGACUAAUAAGACGUUAAAAUCAUGACAAAA